UGUUUCUAUGCUCCUUCGGGGACAAUAAAGAUAUAUUGAAUUUAAAUUAAUUUAAUUUAAUGAGAGCUGUCUGUGUGGAUGAAGUAGAUUUAAUAGAUAUAUUCUGAGCUUUGUGCUGAGAAACUUGAAUUGAGAAACGGCAGUAUGAAAGUGGACAGUUUAUUACCAAGACGUCUGUGUCAUUGAGUGAAUAGGAUGGGCUGCAGUACAGUACAAUGAUAUAUUUCAAUAGAAAACCUUCAUGAAAGGGUUGGAUUUCACUGAGCCCAAGUCCAACAUAAUAACACUCCUCUCAUUCUCUUUCUCCUAUUCAACAUUCUCUUUCUCCUAUUCAACAUUCUCUUUCUCCUGGCUUGAUUGACACUUUAACCUCAUUCUGAAUGUGUAAAAUGCUAUAGCUUAGAUCAUUUUUCCCCCCCACAAUAGACGUUUGAAUAAUGUAAUUCCUUCAUAUGACCUGGUCUGUUACUCCAGAAAGGAAACCUGCCAGAAGGAAAUGAUCAGGGGUGUGAUAAUGCUGUGUCAACAUGUUUCACUGCUAGGGUGUGAUAAUGCUGUGUCAACAUGUUUCACCACAGGGGGGGGGGGUAAUGCUGUGUCACCAUGUUUCACUGCUAGGGUGUGAUAAUGCUGUGUCAACAUGUUUCACCACUAGGGUGUGAUAAUGCUGUGUCACCAUGUUUCACUACUAGGGUGUGAUAAUGCUGUGUCAACAUGUUUCACUGCUAGGGUGUGAUAAUGCUGUGUCAACAUGUUUCACUGCUAGGGUGUGAUAAUGCUGUGUCACCAUGUUUGACUACUAGGUUGUGAUAAGGCUGUGUCAACAUGUUUCACUGCUAAGGUGUGAUAAUGCUGUGUCAACAUGUUUCACCACUAGGGUGUGAUAAUGCUGUGUCAACAUGUUUCACCACUAGGGGUGUGAUAAUGCUGUGUCAACAUGUUUCACUGCUAGGGUGUGAUAAUGCUGUGUCACCUUUACUUGUCAUUCAUGCUGCCAGUGAUAGGUAACCUGUCCUUGACUUGUCAUUCAUGCUGCCAGUGAUAAGUAAUCUGUCCUUGACUUGUCAUUCAUGCUGCCAGUGAUAGGUAACCUGUCCUUGACUUGUCAUUCAUGCUGCCAGUGAUAAGUAACCUGUCCUUGACUUGUCAUUCAUGCUGCCAGUGAUAGGUAACCUGUCCUUGACUUGUCAUUCAUGCUGCCAGUGAUAAGUAAUCUGUCUUUGACUUGUCAUUCAUGCUGCCAGUGAUAGGUAACCUGUCCUUGACUUGUCAUUCAUGCUGCCAGUGAUAAGUAACCUGUCCUUGACUUGUCAUUCAUGUUGUCAGUGAUAGGUAACCUGUCCUUGACUUGUCAUUCAUGCUGCCAGUGAUAAGUAACCUGUCUUUGACUUGUCAUUCAUGCUGCCAGUGAUAGGUAACCUGUCCUUGACUUGUCAUUCAUGCUGCCAGUGAUAGGUAACCUGUCCUUGACUUGUCAUUCAUGUUGUCAGUGAUAGGUAACCUGUCCUUGACUUGUCAUUCAUGCUGCCAGUGAUAAGUAACCUGUCUUUGACUUGUCAUUCAUGCUGCCAGUGAUAGGUAACCUGUCCUUGACUUGUCAUUCAUGCUGCCAGUGAUAGGUAACCUGUCC
rnacentral:lncRNA from 1 species